rnacentral:rRNA from 1 species
GCUGGCGGCGUGUCUAGGCAUGCAAGUCGAACGAAUAUUGUAGCAAUACAACAUUAGUGGCAAACGGGAGCGUAACACAUUGGUAACCUACCUUCGAGACGGGCAUAACACUGCGAAAGCGGUGCUAAUUCCCGAUGGUCUUUUCGGUGAAAUUCCGAAAAAGUAAAAUCGCAAGAUACUCGAAGAGGGGCCUAUGGUCUAUCAGCUAGUUGGUGAGGUAAUGGCUCACCAAGGCUUUGACAGAUAGCGGGCGUAAGAGCGUGACCCGCCUCACGGGGACUGAGAUACUGCCCCGACUCCUACGGGAGGCUGCAGUCGAGAAUAUUCCACAAUGGCCGAAAGGCUGAUGGAGCGACGCCGCGUGCAGGAAGAAGCCCUUCGGGGUGUAAACUGCUUUUUUUAGGGACGAACAAAUGACGGUACCUAAAGAAUAAGAGGUUGCUAACUCUGUGCCAGCCGCCGCGGUAAUUCA